rnacentral:rRNA from 1 species
CUGUAUCACCAUACUACUCUGAACUCACUGAUUUCAUUUGAUUUCAGAAGCUAAGCAAGGUAGAACUUGGUUAGCAGUUGGAUCAGAUAAUACCAGAACUCUCCAGCUAGGGCUUGGAAAGGAUCCUGC